AACGCGAAGCGGCGCCUACCCGCUCGCUCGCUUCCGUCCCCGACUCCCCCUCCCUCCCCAUCCUAUUCGCUCCGCCGCACCACCCACCACAUCGCCCGCCUCCCGGAAUCCGCUCUCCUGCCGCCGCCGCCGCCGCCGCCGCCGCCACCCCGGCCGGAGGCCACGCGCCCCACGCGGCCGUUCGAACCCGAGGUCAGAUCCAAACCCCAGCCCCAGGUCCGAAUCGCGCCGCAAUUUUUCUAGGUUUUGGUACGGAUCUAGGGUUGGCCGUGGAAUUCCGGGGGCGGGGGCGGUUCGCUCUGAUUCCUCCGCGGCUCGGAUUUCGUGCUCAUGGCCGCCGGGCGCCACGGAGGCUACAGGGACUACGAGGCCAGGGAGCGGGAGCCCGACGCCGAGGCCAGGGAGCGGGAGCCCGACGCCGAGGCCGCCAGGAGGAGCCAGAGCCUCGGCGGCCGCCACCGGAGCGACGCCGACCGCCGCCGCGACGGCGGGCGCAGCAGCGGUGGCAGGGAAUUCUCCAACGGCUAUGGCCACCGCCGUUCGCAUCCGCCCAAGAGCCGCCUCUCCACGAGGCUUGGGGACCGGGAGCCCGGUGAGGUGCUCAGCGGGAGUGCGUCAGACGACUCUGGUGGGAGGUCAGGCAGAGCGGCGGGGGAGAAUACCAUGUCCAGUUCUAGCAGGGAGGGCGAGGUGGCGGUGGGGGCGCCUGCUGCCCCUUCGCCCAGCAAAAAGAGGAAAUUUUCGCCCAUAAUUUGGGACAGGGAUAGCCCAAAGCCGCCGCCGUUACAUUCUGGUGCAGUUACUGUAAAGGGAGUGGUGGAAUCCGCAUCUGCUGAUAUAGCAAGUGACAAGAAAGUGGUGGAGUCCUCUUCUGCUCAACUCCCUCCCCCUCCCCCGCUGCCUCCACAGGGGCACAUCCCAGAGAGGUUGGUCGUGGAGAAUUCACCAAUGGAUGUGGACCUCGCCGUUGAUACUGACAACACUGAGCAGUUGCACGAGCUGGAGGAUAGUAAAGUGCUUGAGGUAGAAGAGAGUAAAGUAAAGGAGGAAGAGGAGAGUAAAGUAAAGGAGGAAGAGGAGUACCCAACAAUGAGGAACAUAUCAACUUCAAGGUGGGCAGGUGCUAACGAUGACGACGAGGAGGGUGUAACACUGAGGAAGAAGAAAGGCUUAUCUCCUGCAGAUUCCGCUGAGCUGGGGCAGGGUAAGAAGACUCCUACUCCAGAACUUGGGGAGGUUGUGACCAGUGAUAUGUCUGGACGGAGGACCAUGUCAAGGUCAUCUGAUUCAGGGAGAUUGGGUAACGACGAGAAGGAAGAUUUGGAAUUAGGUAAAGGUGACUACAUGGAUGUUGAUAGAGGGGAGGCUAGUGUUAAUGGUUCAGCUAAUCGUCUAUCUUCUGACUCGGAGGAUGAAGUGCGCAGAUCUGAAACCCCUGAGCCAGUGAAGCCAACUCAUCGAUGUAUCAAUAUGCUGCAAGGUUGCAGAAGUGUUGAUGUGUUUGAGAGGCUCAACAAGAUUAAUGAAGGCACCUAUGGUGUUGUAUAUCGAGCAAAGGAUAAGAAGACUGCUGAGAUUGUAGCAUUGAAGAAGGUCAAGAUGGAAAAGGAGAGAGAAGGUUUCCCGUUGACCUCUCUUAGGGAAAUCAAUAUCCUUUUAUCUUUCCAUCACCCUUCAAUUGUUGACGUUAAGGAAGUAGUAGUUGGCAGUAGUCUUGAUAGUAUUUUUAUGGUGAUGGAGUACAUGGAGCAUGAUCUUAAGGGUGUCAUGGAGACAAUGAAGCAGCCAUAUACCCAAAGUGAGGUCAAAUGCUUAAUGCUUCAGCUAUUAGAGGGUGUAAAAUAUCUUCAUGACAAUUGGGUACUUCAUAGGGAUUUGAAGACUUCAAAUCUAUUGCUGAAUAACCGUGGUGAGUUGAAAAUAUGUGAUUUUGGACUGUCUCGUCAAUAUGGGAGCCCACUAAAACCUUAUACUCAAUUGGUUGUGACUUUGUGGUACAGGUCACCUGAACUAUUGCUAGGAACAAAGGAAUACUCUACUGCUAUUGACAUGUGGUCCGUGGGCUGCAUUAUGGCAGAGCUUCUCGCCAAAGAACCACUGUUCAAUGGAAAAACAGAGUUUGAACAGCUAGACAAGAUAUUUAGAACACUUGGCACACCUAAUGAGAAGAUAUGGCCUGGUUAUGCCAAGUUACCUGGUGUCAAAGUCAACUUUGUUAAGCAACCGUACAACAGAUUAAGGGAUAAGUUCCCAGCUGCGUCUUUUUCUGGGCGUCCAAACCUAUCUGAAGCUGGUUUUGAUCUGUUGAAUAAGCUCUUAACUUAUGAUCCUGCGAAGCGUAUAUCAGCGGAGGCUGCAUUGGAGCAUCCAUGGUUCAGUGAAGUACCUCUACCUAAGUCGAAGGACUUCAUGCCAACAUUUCCAGCUCUAAACGAACUGGACAGGCGUACCAGACGGUAUAUGAAGAGUCCUGAUCCUCUAGAGGAGCAACGGUUGAAAGAACUGCAAGCAAAAGGCAACCGUGGCCUUUUCGGCUGAGCUCAAACCGCUUGCUUGGGUUUUGUUCGUACUGACUGCUAUGCUUCAACCUGAAUCAGUGAGGUCAGAUGGCUUCUGAGGUGAGAUGUGCCAUGGACAUGAAGUAUCAGAUCUUCUUGGUGUCUUCAAGCAACUGACAGCGUUCUUUAGCAGGCUUUGUGCUUAGUGACUUGUGGCCCAUCAUAGAAUUCUUUUCACAGGAUUAGCACUCCGACCAGAUUGAUCAUGAAAGCAAAUCUAACCUGCCUCCAUCGUAAGAAAUGAAAGUGGCGAAGGGGAAGGAUGCCUUUAGCUUUUCUUCAGGAAAUCAUGGACAGUAAUACAACUUGAAAGCUUAAGCUGUGGCUGCUUCAAGAGGAAGCUUGAUGGCCGCCAGCUUGUUGUACCUAAGUGACUAAAUUUUGUGGGAGGUCUUGAAGUGUGUUCAUCUGUUACUUGAGUGAGCCAUAGUGGUCACUGGUCAGUUUACUAUCCUUCCUUGUUUAUUAAUGCACCAUAUUCAUCUAACUGUUUUUUGCGGAUGGUCAUCUGUUAUUUGUUUGCAUGGAGUAUGUUUUUUGUUGAACUUUCAUUUCUGCCUUCCCCAUACGGCCGACACUUUGUUUUCUAUUCGAAAUGCCUCCUUGACUGAUGUAAAUGCCACUACAUUGGCAUUGUUUACGCGCCUCCACGAACUAGAGGCUAUUUAGAUUUAGUGAAGGAGGUCAAAAUUAGGCUGAAAUACUAGUGUUGCAUGCUCUCUGUUCCCCAGUUUGGUUAGGUAGCCUGGUUGUUUUGAUGGGCCACAUUUGGAACAAACGUUUGGCAUGCUCUUUGGGGAUGCAUAACUGCUUAUGGUUCUUGAUGUUCUUGUAGUAGUGUUGUUCUUGUCAUGGGUUUAUAUGAGCUGCCUUUGCUACUACAAAUGUUUAAUUGCUACUUGCCACUUCAUUCUGUGUGACGUUGGUGGUUCGGAGUUUUGCUUUGAAUGUGAUGGUCAAUUUCUUGCCCAUUUGUUUGCCCCUUAUUUUAGUUUCAGCUGUCUUGUGGAAGAUACAUCAGCCCAUCAGCAAACCUGAUUAUGGCUUUCCGACAUAAACAUUUGCGUAGUUACAGUGGUGUCCGGAUGCAAUCGGCGCACAGAGUAGAAAGAUAGAAACUAUGGUCUAUUCCCUUUGUUCACAAAUGUAAGAUGUUUUAGAUAUUUCAAUAUGGACUACAUACGGAUUGAAAUGAAUGAACAAACACACUAAAAUGUGCCUAUAUGCAUUCAAAUCAGAAAAUAGUUAGAAAAUCGGGACUUGAAUUACGGACGGAGGGAGUACAUUAUAACCUAUGUUGAUAACUGAGGCUCGUAGAGUGGGGUUUUUGUUGGUGGGUACACAUGCAAACGUUUUAUUUGUUUGAUUUGUCAAAGUUUUGGAGUCUUUCUUCUUUGCGUGGACCUCACGAAUGCCGUUCCAUCAUGAAUAAUUUGUUAGAUAAAAACAAAGCAACAUUUGUUGCCAAUUUUUAAGAAGUUACUGUUUUUUCUAUUUUUUUCGGAUUUUACUGCUUAUCCAAGGUGCAUGUGUGCCCGGGAUCAUAAUUGCACUUUAAGGGCUCGUCACCUUACGGAAGAGCAAGACGCUUUUGGAUGCUAUAUACCUCUUGUAACGAGCAGCCUGAUAUCGCUCGCUCGCUGGACGUGAACUGCCAUAGUGCCAUUCAGUGUCUUUGUUGCACUCCCGCUGAGCUCGUCAUGUACUUCCUCCGUUCCUAAAUAUGAGUCUUUCUGGAGAUUUUGAUGUGAACUACAUACGGAUGUAUAUAGAUAUAGUUUAAAGUGUAGAUUCACUCAUUUUGCUUCGUAUGUAGUCGACAUUGAAAUACCCCGAAAGACUUGUACUCCCUCUGUUCCACAAUUCUUGUCUUAGAUUUGUCUAAAUACAGAUAUAUCAAGUCACAUUUUAGUACUCCUUCCGUCCGGAAAUACUUGUCAUCAAAAUAAAUAAAAGAAGAUGUGUCAUCAAAAUAAAUAAAAGAAGAUGUAUCUAGAUGUAUUUUAGUUCUAGAUACAUCUUUUUUGUCCAUUUAGAUGACAAGUAUUUUCGGGCGGAGGGAGUAUUAGGUACAACCGUAUCUAGAUAAAUCUAAGACAAAUUUUUUUGGACGGAGGGAGUAUUUAGGAAUGGAGGUACUAGUAGUUUUACGGGACCAUCGGUUCGAGUCGUCUGGAUUGCCAUAGUUGAGUAAUCUUGUUGCUCAUCCAUUGGCGUGGGCUUGUGUAGACUCCAUCAUUUGCAGGUCAAUGUGGAGGGUCUGGAUGACAAAGCAAGGAGCACGCGCAACUCGAGAGGCAAUUCGGUCUGGAUGACUGAAGCAAUACUACUCUCCGCUGCAGCGCACACUCUAUGUGAUUAUUACGUGUAAAAGUUCGUUAAUUAGUUAGAAUCAAAUACUUCCAUGAGUGCAUAUAUGUUGCUGAAAGAACGUUUCACGGUGA